rnacentral:rRNA from 1 species
UGGGGAAUUUUGGACAAUGGGCGAAAGCCUGAUCCAGCAAUGCCGCGUGUGUGAAGAAGGCCUUCGGGUUGUAAAGCACUUUUGUCCGGGAAAGAAAUCCUUGGCUCAAUACAGUCGGGGGAUGACGGUACCGGAAGAAUAAGCACCGGCUAACUACGUGCCAGCAGCCGCGGUAAUACGUAGGGUGCAAGCGUUAAUCGGAAUUACUGGGCGUAAAGCGUGCGCAGGCGGUUUGCUAAGACCGAUGUGAAAUCCCCGGGCUCAACCUGGGAACUGCAUUGGUGACUGGCAGGCUAGAGUAUGGCAGAGGGGGGUUAGAAUUCCACGUGUAGCAGUGAAAUGCGUAGAGAUGUGGAGGAAUACCGAUGGCGAAGGCAGCCCCCCUGGGCCAAUACUGACGCUCAUGCACGAAAGCG